rnacentral:lncRNA from 1 species
UUCACAAGUAAUUUGACUUGAAAAAGUGGAAUUCCUCAUUCCAUCACCUGAAUAUUUUAAAUAAUAUCCUAAGCAAAAAUUUGAUUCUGAAACAUGUUUUCAGCAGGGUUGAUUAUCAGCCCUGUCAAAAUUUUCAAAAAAAUUGUUUCAAUCCAUGUACAGAGCUAAGACUUUUUUUUUCUAGUUUUUACUUAUAGUGAUUGGACAAGCUAAAUUUUAUUUUCUAUGGUUUAGAUAUUAUGCUAUACAUAUAUUGUCAAUUUGAAUCAAACACUACCAUGUUUACAUAAUAAUUGCUUCAAUUGAUCUUUGAAAGCCAUAGCUAUUGAAGUCUUGAAAAUUUUCAUUUUUUUCAGAUUUUAUUGAUAAUAGAGUUACAAUAUUCAACAUAGACUAAAUGUCCAAUUUUGUUUUUAUAGCUUUC